ensembl:lncRNA SNHG10 small nucleolar RNA host gene 10
AAUUGGCGGCGGGGGCGGGGGGUCGAUGUCUCACUUUUUUGCCCAGGCUGGUCUCGAACUCCUGGCUUCAAGGGAUCCUCCUGCCUCGGCCUCUUAAAGUGCUGGGAUUACAGGCGUGAGCCACCGCCCCCGGCCGCCUCUGAGUUUCCAGCCUCGUUGGCCCUCCAGCCUUUUAACCUGUUGGGCCUAGGAUCAGGAAAGGUUUGUUGAAUGGGGAACUAAGAAGUGAAUUCGUUCGUUCGACAAACGUUUCCUGAGCAGCCGCUGGGUGCUAGGCGCAGUGCCAGCGCGGAAUGUCCAGGGAGACCUGGUGCCCAAAGCUUGGACCCAUCGUGAGAAAUGAGAAGCAGAUACAAAGCAGUGUGGGAGUGCAGAGGAGACAAAGCAAGCCUCAUCAGGCCCAUUGCUUGCUCUGCUCUCCCUUGUACUUACCAGUGCUUGACAAUAUACAGUUAUUUACUAGCUUGGUUAUUGACUUCCUACCCAGCACUCAGUUUUAUUCACUGCUGUAUCCUCAGUGCCUAGGACGAUGCUUGGAACGUGAUUCAUUGAUUCCAGGUAAAUCAGAGGAACAAGCAACAUGAACAGAAAUAUGUAGAAAAAGCUAUUAUGCAGAAGCAUAAUUGUUGUUUCAGAAGUCCAGCAUCUGGUGCACUUAACAAUAGAGAAUAUAUUAAACUCUUUCCAAAAUAACCUGUUGUUCCUACCUGUGUUGUAAGUGUUUUGUUUGUUUUUAAGUAAAUAUUGGUGAUUUGUUGCCAAAAACCUAAACUGUUUGUUGCUGUCAACUUAAAUAACGAACAGAGAGAGGCUCUCUAAAAGAAAAUGGCAUUUAUUCAGGAAUAGAGCACUGCAAUGAGAAAAUGCAUGCGAUAGUUAACUGUGUGUAUCCUGGGAGAUAGAGGAAGACAAAGGUCUUUAAAGGAAAAAUGAGGAGGGUUACAUAAUUGUUUUGAGAUAAUUAUUUUUGACUACAAGGAUCAGUAACAAAGGUGACACCAGUCCCAGGUUGGACAGGCAGGUGCUCGGCAGGCAUUGCAGAAGUAUUUUUUGUGUAAGAUUGAGAUGGCCUUUGUGCAGGAUUGUGGUUUUGGAAUCUUCUGUGAUCGUUUUUGCUAUCAGGCAUUUAUGCUUGCGAACUCUUUAUGGCCUUCCCUGUGUCUAUUUUGAUUCCACCUUUCUCAUUGCCCACUCUAAACUGUAAUUCUGCUUUUAUGUUGACUGAGAUCAGGAGAAGAAUUUGCAAACUUAUAUCCUGAGACAGAACAGUAAUGAGGAGUAUCGUGUUCCUUACCUAAUGUAUAAUAUUGGGCUCAGAAGCAGUUGUCUUUUUUAUUUGUUGAACGUUGUAUUAAGUUGAGAAUGCAGCUGCCAUUAAAGAUUAAGAGUAAUCCUUGAGAAGGAAGAGUACAAAGCCUGUGUUUUGCUAAAUCAUAGUGAAGUUGCCGUGUUUUUGUAGAAUAUGAUAAGAACAUACAGUGUGUGAAAUGCUAAGGAUAUGGAAAAGCAUGUUGGUGCUCUUUCAAGGAGCUAUUUUGAUAGCAUGAGCAAGGGCAGGAAACAGAUCAUGUAUCUGAACCAAAGAAAUUGAAACAAUACAUCUAAAUUUAAAUUUUUAAUAAAACAACCCAAAAUAU